AAACAACUUUUCUUGUACUGAGCUGCACACCGACAAAAUGUGGCUCAAAAAGAAUUUGCUGAUGUGUUCAAGUAUUUCAACACAUUAAACGUGUCCAUGCACGGAAGGGGGGCACAUUAUCGCACUGUCGGCAAAUCAUGUUUUCAAAGCCAUUUUUUUUCCGAAGCUUAUAAUGAAGCACAACAGCUGGAUGCCGCGAGGGGAAAAAAUCCACUGAUGAAAACGAAACGUCUCAGCACAUUGCAAGUACGGUUUAAUGACUACUUCCCACAGAACCAUUGAGGUGAUCAAAGGAUAUGCGAUCGCUUUGGAAUCGACAUGGAAAGCAUCACAUUGUCGAGCCGUUGAUGAGAUACGGUUGGUCAUGUGAUCAGACGUUGAGCAAGACCAAUCGUGCCCAGGAGACAAUCCUUCCCAAAGAUGAGCUGCUGCCAGCCCUGAUUACGGCACAGAGCCAGAAUCAAUACCUCGCAACUUCCAAACACAGCCUUAUCCUGUCAGACUGCAGAGCCCACAGUGCAGCAGAGACCAUCAAAGCAAACAGUUAUUACUAACACGAGCAGGUUCACUUUGGUACUUUUGCCGAUUAUACUGAGCUGAGCUGCAGCUCCUCUUCAAAACGACGAAAAAUAAUCUCCUCUGUAUGUCGCCCUCUAUUUGGCUCCUAUUUGGUUCCCAAAGAUGAAGCUCCAGCACAAAAGUCGCCUUCUGACACCCUUGUGGAGACCGGCACGUAUCUCAGAAGGUGCUUGACACGCUUCGAAUAGAAGACUUCCAGGACACAUCUCAGAAGUGGCAAAAACGCUGGGAGCGUUGUACUGUCGUACAAGGGGACUAUUUUGAAGGUGAUGUGUAAAUGUAGAUAAUAAAGUACUUUGUUGUAAACAGA